rnacentral:rRNA from 1 species
UACGUAGGCAGCAAGCGUUGUUCGGAAUUACUGGGCGUAAAGAGUGUGUAGGCGGUGCUCUAAGUCUGUUGUGAAAUCUCCCGGCUUAACCGGGAGGGUGCGGCGGAAACUGGAGUGCUUGAGGGUGGGAGAGGUAAGCGGAAUUCCUGGUGUAGCGGUGAAAUGCGUAGAUAUCAGGAGGAACACCUGUGGUGUAGACAGCUUACUGGACCACUUCUGACGCUGAGACACGAAAGCGUGGGGAGCGAACAGG